AUGAGUCACUGUCGAAGCUUGACCUGACAAUUUUGCGAAGGUUCCUCCUCCGGAGAUGAGGAACUCAUGAUGGCUGCAAUCAUAGCAGAGGAAGAACAAGCCCGAUUGGAUGCUCCACGACGUGGAGGUUCACAACCGGUUUGUCAAUCUCUUCAGCACGAUUUUGCAGAACGCUUUCAGAACCUCCACAAGGACCUUUUUGUACAUAACUGUACCUUCACCCCAAGGUUGUUUCGCAACAAGUAUGAAACCAGUGUAUCUGCUUCGAUUUCACCAUAG
rnacentral:rRNA from 1 species